rnacentral:rRNA from 1 species
AUUGAACGCUGGCGGCAGGCCUAACACAUGCAAGUCGAACGAGUGGCGGACGGGUGAGUAAUGUCUGGGAAACUGCCCGAUGGAGGGGGAUAACUACUGGAAACGGUAGCUAAUACCGCAUCCCAUCGGAUGUGCCCAGAUGGGAUUAGCUAGUAGGUGGGGUGACGGCUCACCUAGGCGACGAUCCCUCUCUGGUCGGAGAGGAUGACCAGCCACACGGGAACGUGGACACGGUCCAUACUCCUACGGGAGGCAGCAGUGGGGAAUAUGGCACAAUGGGCGAAAGCCUGAUGCAGCCAUGCCGCGUGUAUGAAGAAGGCGUUCGGGUUGGAAAGUACUUUCAGCGAGGAGGCGUUACUCGCAGAAGAAGCACCGGCUAACUCCGUGCCAGCCGCCGCGGUAAUAC